GAAUAUCAUCAUCUCUAUGAUUGCCUCUAGGGCAUACCUCCAACAUUGCUAACUAGCGCUCUUGUGCCAAUAUGACGUGAGCACAUUCUGCUGUGUAUUUCUUGCAACAACUCUUUACCUUCGUCAAUGGUGAUGCAUUUUAACAUCGGAGCACACAAUCCCUUUCUAUACAAGUUUUCCCCUCUCAUGCAAUAAUUUCUUGCCCGAAGGGCUAAUCUUUUGGCACUUUUCUCAUCCUCUAGUUCAUAAUAACCAUUGAGGAAGAUGAUUAUUGGUGCCCUCCAAU
rnacentral:lncRNA from 1 species